UGGGGGAUAUUGCACAAUGGGCGAAAGCCUGAUGCAGCGACGCCGCGUGGGUGAUGAAGGCCGUCGGGUUGUAAACUUCUUUUGCUCUGAACAAGGCAUGCUAAUGGGUGUGUUGAGUGUAGGGGUUGAUUAGCGCCGGCUAACUACGUGCCAGCAGCCGCGGUAAUACGUAGGGCGCGAGCGUUUUCCGGAAUUAUUGGGCGUAAAGGGCUUGUAGGUGGCUGGUUGCGUCUGUCGUGAAAGCUCAUGGCUUAACUGUGGGUUUGCGGUGGGUACGGGCUGGCUUGAGUGCAGUAGGGGAGGCUGGAAUUCCUGGUGUAGCGGUGGAAUGCGCAGAUAUCAGGAGGAAUACCGGUGGCGAAGGCGGGUCUCUGGGCUGUUACUGACACUGAGGAGCGAAAGCAUGGGGAGCGAACAGG
rnacentral:rRNA from 1 species